CACGUAGGGUGCGAGCGUUGUCCGGAAUUAUUGGGCGUAAAGCGUGCGCAGGCGGCUUUGCAAGACAGAUGUGAAAUCCCCGGGCUUAACCUGGGAACUGCAUUUGUGACUGCAUGGCUGGAGUGCGGCAGAGGGGGAUGGAAUUCCUGGUGUAGCGGUGAAAUGCGCAGAUAUCAGGAGGAACACCGGUGGCGAAGGCGGGUCUCUGGGCCGAUACUGACGCUGAGGAGCGAAAGCGUGGGGAGCGAACAGG
rnacentral:rRNA from 1 species